rnacentral:rRNA from 1 species
GACGAACGCUGGCGGCGUGCCUAAUACAUGCAGGUCGAACGCUUCUUUCCUCCCGAGUGCUUGCACUCAAUUGGAAAGAGGAGUGGCGGACGGGUGAGUAACACGUGGGUAACCUACCCAUCAGAGGGGGAUGACACUUGGAAACAGGUGCUAAUACCGCAUAACAGUUUAUGCCGCAUGGCAUAAGAGUGAAAGGCGCUUUCGGGUGUCGCUGAUGGAUGGACCCGCGGUGCAUUAGCUAGUUGGUGAGGUAACGGCUCACCAAGGCCACGAUGCAUAGCCGACCUGAGAGGGUGAUCGGCCACACUGGGACUGAGACACGGCCCAGACUCCUACGGGAGGCAGCAGUAGGGAAUCUUCGGCAAUGGACGAAAGUCUGACCGAGCAACGCCGCGUGAGUGAAGAAGGUUUUCGGAUCGUAAAACUCUGUUGUUAGAGAAGAACAAGGACGUUAGUAACUGAACGUCCCCUGACGGUAUCUAACCAGAAAGCCACGGCUAACUACGUG